AGCAUCUCUGAUAGAAAACAAAACCAAUGAUGUCACUUUGAACAGUCGUGAAAAACAGAAUCCAAUAAAGAGAAAUGUUUUACUUUAAUGAAAGACAGAGACAGAUGUGCAGACGGAAACACUGGUCUCUAUCAACCAAUGUGCUUUUUGUGUGAAGACUGACACCACAGUUCCUCAGGAAAUAUGUUGCUGGAAGGAAUUUGAGACCAGCCAGCUCCUCAGCAAGAUUGAGGAUGAGCAGUCUCUGGGUGCCCGACUGCAGAAGAAGAUCAAGGAGCUCCAGGUUCAAUUCUGGGGCCUCUUCUGUUCAACAUCUGCAUGCUUCCACUGGCUCAGAUUAUGAAAAACAACAAAGUGUGUCAUCAUCACAUCAUUGUGCAGACGACACAUACAGAACAUACAUAACUUUAUCACCUGAGGACUAUAAUCCCUUAGAAGGGCUAGGAUGAACGAUUGAAAGUCACCACUCAGCUUCAAUCGCUGAUGUUAAAAACCACAAACAAAGCCCAAAAUGUAGGUGUAACUAUGGAUUCAUCAACCUGAACAGCCAUAUUAAGACAAUUAAAAAAUCAGCCUACUAUCACCUGAAGAAUGUAUCAAAGGUCUCUGUAAAAGGUCAAUUGGAAAGCUGCAGCUGAUUCAGAAAGCUGCAGCUCGAGUCCUCACUAAGCCCAAGAAAGUGGAUCACAUCACUCCAAUUCUGAGGUCUUUGCAUUGGCUUCCUGUUCUACCUGCUGCUACCUUACGAACCAUCCCGACCCCUCAGGUCAUCUGGGACUGGUGUACUUUGUGUUCCAAGAAUCAGAACUAAACAUAAAAAGGCAGCGUUCAGAUUUUCUGCUCCACAUAUCUGCAACAAGGUCCCUGAAAGCUGCAGGCCUGCUGAGACCAUCAGCUCCUUUAAAUCCAGAUUAAAGACUAUACUGUUUGCUGUUGCCUUUAAUUGAACCAGAUUCAAUGAUAUCAAUUUCUGCAUUUCACUCCUGCAUUUUAUUUCUGCACUGCAACUUUUAUUUUUAUUUUUAUUGCUUUAUGUUUUGAUGCUUUUAAUGGUUUUAUGAGAAGCACUUUGAAUUGCCUUGUUGUUGAAAUAUGCUAUACAAAUAAACUUGCCUUGCCUUGCAUUUCAGCACUGAGGAAUGUAAGCUGAGCUUUACUGCUGAAAUGACCAUUAUUUUUUUAUUUUUUUAAUAGGCAAAGCAAGUAUAACAAUUUCAGAAGUAAUUUUUGGCCAGGUAAAUCCUGAAGUUACGGUUUCGGGCCAGUAUUUUACUUUUGAUGCAUCACUAGUAUCAACAUUUGUGAUUGUUGUACUACAGUUUGCCACAUUGUUACUGUGUCUGUACCGGUCACAUAACAUAGAAAAUAAUAAUUAUCCAAAACUAAAAUCCA